AGCGAACGCUGGCGGUAGGCCUAACACAUGCAAGUCGAACGGCAGCACAGUAAGAGCUUGCUCUUACGGGUGGCGAGUGGCGGACGGGUGAGGAAUACAUCGGAAUCUACUUUUUCGUGGGGGAUAACGUAGGGAAACUUACGCUAAUACCGCAUACGACCUACGGGUGAAAGCAGGGGAUCUUCGCACCUUGCGCGAUUGAAUGAGCCGAUGUCGGAUUAGCUAGUUGGCGGGGUAAAGGCCCACCAAGGCGCCGAUCCGUAGCUGGUCGGAGAGGAUGGUCGGCCGCACUGGAACUGAGACGCGGUCCAGACGCCUACGGGAGGCAGCAGUGGGGAAUAUUGGACAAUGGGCGCAAGCCUGAUCCAGCCAUACCGCGUGGGUGAAGAAGGCCUUCGGGUUGUAAAGCCCUUUUGUUGGGAAAGAAAAGCAGCAGGUUAAUACCCCGCUGUUCUGACGGUACCCAAAGAAUAAGCACCGGCUAACUUCGUG
rnacentral:rRNA from 1 species